UGAGACUGUUGGCUUGUCUCAAGGGACUUGGUAAAACUGGGCUGCUUGUUAGGAAGCUCCGUCUGUCCAGAAUAUUAUCAGCUGGUGAUGUUGGGCCAGCUCGGGUAAGGCCCAGUACUUUGGGAGGGUCAGUUCCAGUGUAGCUAUGGCUGCUGUGUUUUCCAGAGAACUGUUGUUUGAACUAUCACACCUCUUUUAAGUUUUCAUUUUCCAGUGCUUCAUGGGAGGAAAAAUUGUUUUCAGGAAAGCAACCAUUUUUGGCAAAUGAAAGAAUUUAAAAUACUUUUAUUUUUAUUUUUAUUAUUUUUAUUUUUAUUUUUAUUUUUAUUUUUAUUUUUAUUUUUAUUUUUAUUUUUAUUUUUGAAAGGGGGGUAGUAGGGAGGUGGGUGGUGUGGAAGGCCAGCCAUGCUCCUACCCAUGCUGAGAAUCCCACUUCUUCCAACAUGCUGUGCCUCCCCCCGGGGUCCUGCACAGGGUGAAGGAUGAAUUGAGCUGCCUGCCCUGCUCUGCUGACACUCCCCAGGACUUUUAGCUGAUGAUUUUUCACUAAGACACCUGGAUCCUCCAAACCUGGUUUUGUUUCUGUGCAGCAUCACCUCUAUUUGCAGAAAGCAAUGAGGCUGUGAUGUGAGCAUCCCUUGGCCUGUAUCUGGGAAAGCUCAGGCCGGUGCUGGAUGCAUUUUGAGCGGCAAGCUGGAGUGAGCAGGUAUUUAUUUACUCGGUCUGGGGCAUCACAGUGGUGUUACUUAUUCCUGCCCUGGCUGGUGUCCCAGGAGCGCCUGGGCGCUGGCAGCCCCUCGGUGCUGGGCAGACACUGCUGCGUUUCAGAGCCCCGCUCAAUGCCGCUGUUUGUGCUCCUCCGAACGCUCACGCCUGGGGAUGGGGCAGCUGCCAGCACAGGAUCAGACCGGCAAGGCGAUGCCGCUGGCAAAAUGCCUUCACCCAGUGCCCGCGUGGCUGUGCCGGGAGAAGCAGCGGGGAUGUGCUCGGCACCGCUGGCCUCACCGCGACCAGCGCGAGAUGGAGGUGGCUGAGGCUGCGGCUGCUGCUGGCCAGGCUUGGCUGGCCUCCUGCCUCCAGGCAGGGAGCAAUGGCUCCUCCAGCCAUGGCUUCUAAUGC
rnacentral:lncRNA from 1 species